UUCGGCAUCGUAUAUAGUGUACCAAAAUUGAAACGAUACAGAGAAAAUUAGCAUGGCCCCUGCGUAAGAAUGACACACAAAUUCAUGUACCGUUCCUCAUUUUA